ensembl:lncRNA
CACAGGCACAGCAGUAGUUUUAAAAAGAGAAAAGGGAGAAAAAGCUACCAUCUGGCUAGAAUUUCCCGAAGCUGAGUGUGGGGUUACACUGCGCACAGAGCCAGAACCUGAUUUGGUGCUGUCCUUGUCUCUCCUUAACCCAUUUUCGGUUUGCUUUUUGUAGAACCGGUUUCUCAGCCUGGCUUGGAGGGGUAAGAGGAAUAGAUACAGCAGCAGUCUCCUGUCGUGGCCACUCUCCCCUUGCUCCCUCCUGCGCACCACCUUUUCACCAGAGUGGCUCUCCAGUCUAGCCAGCCUGCGGGGCUCCUAGCUUUGGCUUCCAGUAAAGCGCCAGCAGCCGUGACUCGGACACUUGGUGCUGAAACUAGAUCUUUCACCAAGGCUGGAGGCGAGGCGCCAGCCUAGAGCCAGAGGUGGCUGCCGCCCACGGUCCCCAGAACGUGGAGGGCAUCCUGGACCCCCAUCCCCCAGCUGACACAACCCUCCCCUUGGCCACCUUCAGGACCUCACCAGGUGUGGAGCGUUGAAACGCUUUGAAGAAGUGUGUUGCUAAUAGCCCAUAUAUAAUUGCAGAGAAGUCUUCAAUGGAAGCCCUUCGUGAGAUAAAUGGACAGUCUGUUAUGUGAAGUGGAAAGAUCCAGCCUGCAUGUGGAAGACAUCUUUUGGAGUCCAGAUCAAAGGACAUAGAAGAAAGAUGCUUUCCCCUUCUCCUUGCUUGCCCCCACUUUUGCUGGCAAGUUCAUCUAGACUGUUAUUGUGACAUUCCUUUGCCAAUGUUAGAACCAGCUUCUUCAACCUUCCAAAUAGACUGAAG